rnacentral:lncRNA from 1 species
GCCAAUUCCAAAGAUGUUUCAGGAACCUAGUUUGUGCUUAGGGGCAGCAUUUUGGUAAUUAGAACGCCUGUUCUACACAAGUGGAACUUAUUAGGGGGAGUACUUUCAGCGGUUUAAGCAGGUCCCUGAAGUCUGGCCCCACCCUCAGCCUGAGUCAGAUACAGCCGCUCCUGAAAACAGGCUGGCAUCAAGGUCUUCAGCUCAAGAGGCACUAUACCUGAAGAACUUCAUCUGACAUGAAUCUGAUAUAGAUCAUGAGAUUCUGGGCCUUGAGCCUGAGCCUAACUCUGUAAUGAAAGAAGAUUUUUGAGGAGGAAGUUUCCUUCUGAAAACUUGGAGCCACCAGGUCAACUUGAAGAAACCAGGUCACAAGGAGAGGCUGCAUGUUGGUUCUCCUGUGAACCCAACUCCUGUCUAGCUGAGGUCCUAGACAAUGGGCAAAAUCAACUCACAGACACAUGAGGACUUCUGGUCGAUUCCAGCCACCAUCCAUGGAGUCACUUGUAGCUGUCAAGUCUUCAUAAACCUAUGCUCCAGACAUAAUGCAACAAAUAAGACAUUCCGGCUAUUCUCUGUCUGAAUUCCAAACCCACAGAACCCAUGAGCGUAUGAAAAGGUGUUUCUGUUUUUGUUUUUAAAGAUUGGCAACUGAACUAACAACUGUUGCCAAUCUUCUUUUUUUUUUUUCUCCUGCUUUAUCUCCCUAAAUCCCCC